AACGAACGCUGGCGGCAUGCCUAACACAUGCAAGUCGAACGAGAACUUCGGGUCUUGUGGCGCUCGGGUGCGUACCGCGUGGGAACCUGCCCUUAGGUUAGGAAUCCCUCCCCGUAGGGGGUGUUCAUACCGGAUAAUGUAUUCGGACAAAAGAUUUCUGGCCUUUGGAUGGGCCCGCGUUGGAUUAGUUAGUUGGUAGUGUAAAAGCCUACCAAGGCGACGUUCCAUAGCUGGUCGGUGAGGAUGACCAGCCACACUUGGACUGAGACACGGCCCAGACCCCUAGGCGAGACAGGGGUAGAGAAUAUAGGGCAAUGGGCGAAAGCCUGAGACAGCAAUGCCGCGUGAGAGAUGAAGGCCUUAGGGUUGUAAAGCUCUUUUACCCGGGGUGUUAAUGACGGUACCGGGAGAAGAAGCUCCGGCUAACUCCGUG
rnacentral:rRNA from 1 species